UCCUGAGGAUGAUGGAGAGGCCGAGUCUGAAGAUGAUGCCGAACUUGUGAAGAGCCUGAGCAAGCAGAGGAGGAAGGCCAUUCAAGCUGCCCAUCGGGGGAAGAGGAACUUUGCCUCCAGGAAUACAUACAAGGACAAAGGUGGGAAAUCUUCACUGAGUUCAAAGGUCCAUAAGCAAUUGGGUGGCUGGUAAAGUACUGGAACCCCUGGAGGAGUCACACACUGGUAAAGAAUAUGGAAACUUUUCAUUGCAAGAUGGUUGUCUGCUAUUCAGUAUCUUUUGAAGGCCAAUUUACGAAGUAUAUGAUACCUCUUAUUUCUUUGGUGCUAAGGUGUUGAAGGAAUAGCCUGUAGAGGAGCUAUCACUAAGGUUUGUAGAAACAGUUUGUAGGUUUGAAGAACUUCGUGGACAUUCUAUUAUUGGUCAUAGUUAUGCUAUUUGAUAUUUGAAUGGAGGGAAAUAUACUUGUGCUACUUGGAAUAGUUGGGUGGCAACUAGCACUAGUUUAGUAGCGCAACAGCUGAGUAAAAGCUCCAUGAUCACAGUAUGGUCUGCUGGAGACAGAUGAAAUCCCCUUCCAAAAGUUGAAUUUCAAGGCUAAGAAUCAUGUUUUAAUGUUUUUGAGCGACAAAGAGCUGAGGGUUUUUCUUCUUCUAAAUAAAGCCAUGAAUGGACCUCAUUCCCGUUGUUGACUGUUUGGGUUAAAUUUUAUUUGAGGUUCAAUUUUCAGUUGGUCAUCUCUUCAUUCACAAAAUUACUCUAACUUCUUCACUGUAAAAAGAUUACUUUAAAUUCUCGUGAAGAUGUUCUACGUAAACAGCCUCUCUACCUUCAAGAGCCUCUCUACCUUCAAGGUAGGGGUUUGUUGUUCUUCUCGUGAAGAUGUUCUUGUCGGGAAAGACAUGUUGUUAAGUUACUUAGUAUUACCCAUGGUAAAUGUUACAGCAGGGCUACUGCCGUUCAGGAUAAGGGAAGCGGUCAUAUGCUUAGCUUGCUAAGAGGGAUUCUUACCUUGGCUUGUAACGACAGUAUAUGAUUUUCAUCCUCUAAAACUUUUGUAUGCUUGUGGCGACACGACUCUCGUGUGUCUUAAUUGUGUUUUACGUCAUUCUCCUAUCUCAAAUUGGUGAAAGUAGUUGAAAAGCUAUCCUGUAGGAUCCUUAGUUCUAAUUCCAGGCGACCAGCUUGCAUUAUUACUAUGCACAGGUUGCUGAUAUGAUGUUUUUCUUUUGAUUGUUUGGAGCUCUGAUAACACUAUAAGAUGUUAUAAUGAUGUUGUACGAUUUGAUAAAUAACCUCCCUUAUAUCC